rnacentral:rRNA from 1 species
AUGGCCGACGCCGACCUCUACGCCGUCCUGGGGCUCAAGAGGGAGUGCUCUGACGCCGACCUCCGGCUCGCCUACCGGAGGCUCGCCAUGACAUGGCAUCCGGACCGGUGCUCGGCGUCCGGCAGCUCGGCGCGCGUCCAGGAGGCCAAGGAGCGGUUCCAGGAGAUCCAGAGCGCAUACUCCGUGCUCUCCGACUCCGGCAAGCGGCUGCUCUACGACGUCGGCGUCUACGACAGCGACGACGGCCGCCGGAACGAGCGAGAUGUGUCGGGGAUGGGCGACUUCUUCGGGCAGAUGGCCGAGAUGAUGAGCCAGGCCACGCCAACCGAGAGCUUCGAGGAGCUGCAGCAGCUCUUCGUGGACAUGUUCCAGGCCGACCUCGUCGCCGGCGGAUUCGCGUGCGGGUUCGGCGGUGCGCCUCCUAUGGGCCGCCGGGUCCAGGCCCCGAGCCAAUCAUCUGCACCUACGUUUGCGCAGACACAGCCGACAUGUACCAGGGGUGCCAACAAGCGGUGUUCAUCGGCGAUGGGCUCCGGAACGCCGCCAAGGGCCAGUCGUCCGGGGUCCGGCCCCGGCCGUUCAGGGUCAAGCUCCAAGGGAAGUGAUCUGAGGCGGCGGGAGGAGGCGCCAUGGAAGACGACGACGCAGGAAGACACGAGCAUCGGCGGCAGGAAGAAGAAACAGAGGCCGUCGACGGGCCACGGCGAGUCGUCCUAG